GUAGGCUGAGACUCGCUUACAUGAAGCUGGAGUUACUAGUAAUCGCGCAUCAGCCAUGGCGCGGUGAAUACGUUCCCGGGCCUUGUACACACCGCCCGUCAAGCCAUGGGAGCCGGGAGCGCUUGAAGUGCGUCGCCGCGAGGCGCGCCCUAGAGCGAGACCGGUGACUGGGGCUAAGUCGUAACAAGGUAGC
rnacentral:rRNA from 1 species